rnacentral:rRNA from 1 species
GACGAACGCUGGCGGCGUGCCUAAUACAUGCAAGUAGAACGCAGUUGCGAACGGGUGAGUAACGCGUAGGUAACUGCCUGGUAGCGGGGGCUAACUAUUGGAAACGAUAGCUAAUACCGCAUACUACCAGGUGGACCUGCGUUGUAUUAGCUAGGUGGUGAGGUAACGGCUCACCAAGGCAACGAUACAUAGCCGACCUGAGAGGGUGAUCGGGCAACAUGGGACUGAGACACGGGCCAGACUCCUACGGGAGGCAGCAGUAGGGGAUCUUCGGCAAUGGGGGGAACCCUGAACGAGCAACGCCGCGGUAGUGAAGAAGGUUUUCGGAUCGUAAAGGUCUGUUGUUAAGGAAGCGGUACUUAACCAGAAAGGGACGGCUAACUACGUGCCAGCAGCCGCGGUAAUUC